UGAAUACGAGACGCUACGGCGUCGAAGCAGUCUAUGUCAGACUUCCAAAAAAGCUCGCAAUGUCAUAAACAAAUAAUGCCUGUACCAUAACCGACACAGGUGGGUAGGUAGAGUAUACUAAGGGGCGCGAGAUAACUCUCUCUAAGGAACUCGGCAAAAUGACUCCGUAACUUCGGGAGAAGGAGUGCCUUAUUUAUAAGGUUGCAAUAACAAGAUCCAAGCAACUGUUUAUCAAAAACACAGGUCUCCGCUAAGUCGUAAGACGAUGUAUGGGGGCUGACGCCUGCCCAGUGCCAGAAGGUUAAAGAAGUUGGUUAGCAUUCGCGAAGCUGAUAACUGAAGCCCUGGUGAACGGCGGCCGUAACAAUAACGGUCCUAAGGUAGCGAAAUUCCUUGUCGGGUAAGUUCCGACCCGCACGAAAGGCGUAAUGAUUUGGAUACUGUCUCGGAGAGGGGCUCGGUGAAAUAGACUUGUCUGUGAAGAUGCGGACUACCUGCACCUGGACAGAAAGACCCUAUGAAGCUUUACUGUAACUUGAAAUUGAAAUUGGACUUUAUUUGCGCAGCAUAGGUGGGAGGCUUUGAGAGUAUUCUUGCGGGAAUAUUGGAGCCAUCAGUGAGAUACCACUCUUGUAAUGUUAGAUUUCUAACUUUGUAUCAUUAUCUGGUCAAAGAACAGUUUCAGGCGGGCAGUUUGACUGGGGCGGUCGCCUCCCAAAUGGUAACGGAGGCCUACAAAGGUUUCCUCUGAACGGGUAGAAAUCGUAUCUAGAGUGUAAAGGCAUAAGGAAGCUUGACUGUGAGACCUACAAGUCGAGCAGGGACGAAAGUCGGUCUUAGUGAUCUGACGGUGCUGAGUGGAAAGGCCGUCACUCAACGGAUAAAAGUUACUCUAAGGAUAACAGGCUGAUCUCCCCCAAGAGUUCACAUCGAUGGGGAGGUUUGGCACCUCGAUGUCGGCUCAUCGCAUCCUGGGGCGGUAGUGCGUCCCAAGGGUUGGGCUGUUCGCCCAUGAAAGCGGUACGCGAGCUGGGUUCAGAACGUCGUGAGACAGUUCGGUCCAUAUCCGGUGUAGGCGUUAGAAUAUUGAGAGGAGCCUUCUUUAGUACGAGAGGACCGAGAAGGACAUACCUCUGGUGUACCAGUUAUCGUGCCAACGGUAAACGCUGGGUAGCUAUGUAUGGAGAGGAUAACCGCUGAAAGCAUCUAAGUGGGAAGCCCACCUCAAGAUAAG
rnacentral:rRNA from 1 species